UACAGAGGUCUCAAGCGUUGUUCGGAUUCAUUGGGCGUAAAGCGCGUGUAGGCGGCCAGAUAGGUCUGCUGUGAAAACUCGAGGCUCAACCUCGAGCUGUCGGCGGAAACCAUCCGGCUAGAGUCCGGAAGAGGAGAGUGGAAUUCCCGGUGUAGCGGUGAAAUGCGCAGAUAUCGGGAAGAACACCUGUGGCGAAGGCGGCUCUCUGGGACGGUACUGACGCUGAGACGCGAAAGCGUGGGGAGCAAACAGG
rnacentral:rRNA from 1 species